rnacentral:rRNA from 1 species
AUUGAACGCUGGCGGCAGGCCUAACACAUGCAAGUCGAGCGGAGCGGCGGACGGGUGAGUAAUGCCUAGGAAUCUGCCUGUUAGCGGGGGAUAACGUCCGGUAACGGGCGCUAAUACCGCAUACUAUCAGAUGAGCCUCGGUCGGAUUAGCUAGUUGGUGGGGUAAAGGCCUACCAAGGCGACGAUCCGUAGCUGGUCUGAGAGGAUGAUCAGUCACACUGGUACUGAGACACGGUCCAGACUCCUACGGGAGGCAGCAGUGGGGAAUAUUGGACAAUGGGCGAAAGCCUGAUCCAGCCAUGCCGCGUGUGUGAAGAAGGUCUUCGGGUUGUAAAGCACUUUAGGUUGGGAGGCGUUAUCAACAGAAUAAGCACCGGCUAACUUCGUGCCAGCAGCCGCGGUAAUAC